UUUUAUGGCGGCUGUACGCGGGAGACCUCCGGGUCUGCCGGGUUUGUUCUUUUCCUCGGUCUGCGAACCCGCGUACAGCUGCCACCCCG
rnacentral:antisense_RNA from 2 species